rnacentral:lncRNA from 1 species
CUGCGUAUGUGCUGAUAACCAUUUAAACUGGGUGAUGGGUACAUGAAACUUCAUUACACUAUUCUCUCUACUUUCAUGUUUGAAAAUCUUCAUAGUAAUGUCUUUAAACAUCCUUUUAAAUCUGCCAGGCUAUAGGUAGAUUUAAAGGAUAAGGCUUCCAUGAGAUUAGAGGAUUGUUUGAAAGGAAACACUGCAGUCAAUGAACUGAAAGGAAGCCAUAAAAUCUAGAUUUGGGAGGUAGUAAUGACAUAGUAGAAGGGUAUGACUUAUGAAUGAGUAGACAUGGAGGACAGGAGGUCUUUUGGGGGCUGAAGAAAUCAAGGGAUGGGAUGGGUCAUUCAUGUGGCAUUAAGGAUCCAAGAAUGACCACAGAAGGAACA